rnacentral:rRNA from 1 species
CACGUAGGGGGCAAGCGUUGUCCGGAUUUAUUGGGCGUAAAGAGCUCGUAGGUGGUUCAGUAAGUCAGGUGUGAAACCUCCAGGCUCAACCUGGAGACGCCACUUGAUACUGCUGUGACUGGAGUCCGGUAGGGGAGCGUGGAAUUCCUGGUGUAGCGGUGAAAUGCGCAGAUAUCAGGAGAAACACCAGCGGCGAAGGCGGCGCUCUGGGCCGGUACUGACACUGAGGAGCGAAAGCGUGGGUAGCAAACAGG